GGGGCCUUAGCUCAGCUGGGAGAGCACCUGCUUUGCAAGCGGGGGGUCGUCGGUUCGAUCCCGACAGGCUCCACCAUUUGAGUGAAACGACUUUGGGUCUGUAGCUCAGGUGGUUAGAGCGCACCCCUGAUAAGGGUGAGGUCGGUGGUUCGAGUCCUCCCAGACCCACCACUCUGAAUGUAGUGCACACUUAAGAAUUUAUAUGGAUCAGCGUUGAGGCUGAGACAUGUUCUUUUAUAACUUGUGACGUAGCGAGCGUUUGAGAUAUCUAUCUAAACGUGUCGUUGAGGCUAAGGCGGGGACUUCGAGUCCCUAAAUAAUUGAGUCGUAUGUUUCGCGUUGGUGGCUUUG
rnacentral:tRNA from 1 species